GGGGUCGCAAUGGGUUCGACGGGGUUUUGAGAAUGUGAUGUUCGCAGGUAGAAGACCGCCUCAAGGCUUAACCAAAAUAAAAUGACGACACUACUGUUGUAAUGAUCCAUCCCGCACUGGCUGCUUGUGUAGCAGAGGGGAUUGCCGCCUAAUUGACGGCUGGAACCAAAACAAUGCACUUGUACGGAAGGGGCAUUUGAGGUUAAAGAAUCCGUACAUAAACAGUUUCCUUGUUCUGUAACAAAAUAAGGUGGUGGAGGUGUGCCAAGCCGGUACGCCCUAAGUGUAGAUUUGACAGUAUCGCAAGCAACUUUCCGCAAGGAGAAAGCUGAAACACUGUCUAUUGCGUAAGAAGACAUCUCAUAUGUAGGAAUUUCGGACAGGGGUUCGAUUCCCCUCGACUCCACCA
rnacentral:tmRNA from 1 species